rnacentral:rRNA from 1 species
AUUGAACGCUGGCGGCAUGCCUUACACAUGCAAGUCGAACGGUAACGGGCCUUCGGGUGCCGACGAGUGGCGAACGGGUGAGUAAUGCAUCGGAACGUACCUUUCAGUGGGGGAUAACGUAGCGAAAGUUACGCUAAUACCGCAUAUUCUGUGAGCAGGAAAGCAGGGGAUCGCAAGACCUUGCGCUGAUUGAGCGGCCGAUGUCAGAUUAGCUAGUUGGUGAGGUAAAGGCUCACCAAGGCGACGAUCUGUAGCGGGUCUGAGAGGAUGAUCCGCCACACUGGAACUGAGACACGGUCCAGACUCCUACGGGAGGCAGCAGUGGGGAAUUUUGGACAAUGGGGGGCAACCCUGAUCCAGCCAUGCCGCGUGAGUGAAGAAGGCCUUCGGGUUGUUAAAGGACUCUUUCGGUCCGGGAACGGAAAUACGCAUGGGUUAAGU